rnacentral:lncRNA from 1 species
GCUUCAGUUUUCUUAUCUGAAAAAUGAGGACACCUGACCCCUUCCCUGCCCAGUUCAGUGUUGUGGGACAGGGUUGCUGUCAAGACAAUACCCAGUCCUGCCCUCCUCCCUGAGUGGGCCAGGUAGCCCAUGUAGCCUCUUCCCAGCUUUCCUGGGUGGCACUGCCAGCCUGGUGCCCAUUCAAUCUAGUCCUUCAUCUUGCUGGAGCAUGGGGAAGCUCUGAGUAACAUGGGACUAUAGAGUGCAAGAGGGUUGCUGAUGGUCUGGGUCCUGUGCCCUCCUCAUUCCUGGGCAUUCUUGACAAAGGCUCCCAGCAACUGAGGGUACGCAGCAGCUGUAGACACCAGCCUGAUGAAUAUCUCAUUGUGGGAAGGGCACCAUAGCAGGAGUGGAGCUCCAGGGAAAUACAGAACCGAGGUCUGGGAGGUGCUGAUGUGAGAGGCCCAAGAAACCUCGGCUUUGCACUUGCUGAGUACCAUCUGCACCUCUCAGGAGGGAGAGCGCCAGGCUCAGGAGGUCCUUGCCGAAGCAAGGGAGCUUGAAAAGGGGGCUGGGGUGGGCUCUGCCAUUUUCAAGGGCUGACAGGGAUCCCCUCUGGAGGUACUUGGGGCAGUGCUGCGUGCCGUGGCUCCUGAGUGACAGAGUCAGCUCUGCGCCCCACAAGACCGCUCCCUGCCGAGAACUCACUGUGAUCAUGUGCUGGGUCCAGAUGCUCACGCAGCCUCCUGAUGGGAGCAUCAGGUGUGCUGCCUGCCCAGGGCGGCCCACAAGAGUCUGCCCUGCCCUGCCCUGCUCUGCUAUGGAACAACUCCCAUUCUGCCUUUGGGGAGAGGUGUUCAUUUAAACCAUGAGUGGGCUGGCCCCCAUGGCACAGUUACCACAGAGAGUCUGCCACUACCCAUGGCUGAGAGCUCUAGUUCUUCUCUGAAGCCACCAGGACAGAUGAACAGUGGCUUCCCCCUUUUGGCCGACUCAGCUGCCUUUCAUCAGCUCAUCUGCUCCUAGGAUCCACUCUUCCUCUGGCUGGCACCUGAUCUGAGCCCGAGGCUCACACCUCUGCCCACAGGCCCCAGCAGCUGCUUCACCUCCGACUCCAUCCCCCACCAAGCACUGCCCCUCACCAGCUGCUGGGGUGCCACUAGUGCCCCUACAUGGUUCUCCCUCUCCAGACCCUUGGGUCCAGCUCUAGCUUCCUUCGGGAAGCCACACCCCAAGACCCCAGCCCUGCUCUGGGGCCCUGUAUCCCCGACUUCCUGCAUUCUUCUCCCUCCUUCUGGGAACAUGAACUUGCCCUGCCAGCCUGAUGACUCCUAGAGGGCAGGACACCAGGUCCUGGACCAUGGCAGGCCUGGGAGUGUCUGCUGCCGGUGAUGCUGGAGCUGGUGCCCAUGUCCACAUGAUGUCCAUGGCACAGUGGCCACCUGAGGCUGGGCGCAUCUGAGUGGUGGCUGCAGAGUGGGGCCCUUACCUCUGCCUGAGUGAAGUUCACCAGGUCCUCCCCUGUGCUGUCAUGCUGGGCGUGGAAGAGCCGGCCUAGCUGGAGGCCCCGCACCACAUGGUAGAGCAGGAGCUGGGGGUCGGUGCCUGCUGGCUCUGAGGCUCUGGCUGCUGAGUGGCUGGACGGACUCUGCCAGAGGCAAAAGGGGCCAUCAGCCUUUGUGAUCCAGGCCGAGGCCUGUGGCUGCAGAGAGGCAGUGUGACCCUGGCAUGCCACCCUCAGCUCUGCCCCAGCCCCCCGCACCCAGGAACGCCCACAAUCAGCACACCCACCUGGGCAGUCAGUGUCCGGCUGCCCUCCAGCGAGUGAAGCACUUGCUUCUGGGCCGUCACUCAGAAGCUAAGUGUCUGGAGGAAGUAUGUUCACUGUCAGAGAGGCCAAAGUGGAUGCCUCCGUCCAGGGCCCCUGGGGACAAGGGUGUUGGGUCCAGCUGGCCUGAACUGGCUCCCCACCUCAGGGUGCCCCCGUGGGCAGCAGAAACCUGGGGCUCGGCCCUCAGCACCCACCUCUGUGUGAGAACAGCACGAGCCCACCAUCCAGCUGGGUCUGCAUGAAGCUGCGCACCUCAGUGCCCGGCACCGCCCACUGCACUACCCACCCAUUGCUGGGCUGCUUAAUGGUGUACACCAGGUCCUUGGGCCCAGAGUAACCAUCCGUGCUCCUCAGAGCCUCUGUAGGGAUGGGCACGGUGGCCCCCUCCCACAUCUGGGGACACAGGCCUGUGAAGGUUCUGCCCUGCCACACUUACCCACCCCUUCCUCCCCGGCCCUGGGCUGCCACCAGGGCUCCAACCCCACUGAGGCUCAGGCCCUCAGGUGGCAUCAAGGCUGGCGCUGCUGUGGCUCCCCUGCACAAAUGGCCUCCCUGCAUUCACCUUCCCUGUCACCCCAGGGAAGGCCACCCUCCAGGCCCAGCAUCCCUGCUCUUCAUCUGUCCUAGUCCUGUGUGUCCCUCAAGACCAGCUUGUGUACCCAACCCAGGAAGGCCCUAGCUCUUACCGUCACCAAGUUCUCACCCCCAGAAACCCCCAGCGCUGACCAACAGUGCUCCUUAAUCUAGCUCACUGGUGGGGCAGCAGUCUCCUUUCAGACCCUCCAUGUGUGCCUGGCAGGGGCUGGGCACAGGUGGGAACAGUGAUUUUAGAAACGAGCACUCCUUCCAGCUAAGGGAGGGGUGGGAGGCGCAGAGAGCUGAAGCCUGAUGGUUGGCACUGUCCUGCAGCACAGAAGCAGUGCUGGGAUGGGCCCAGGUGCUUCCAGAGCAGUUACGGGCCCUCCUCGUGUUGGGCAAAGGGGGCCCCUUUUCAGGCCUCCCACUAGCAAGCAGAACAGGCACCCGUUCCUGAGGUCCUGGUACCACUCUUGCUGGGUCAAUUACUUGUGGGCAGUGCUGCAGUGGGACUCACAUGCCCAGAAAACAGCCCUCUGGCAUUCCUGGGCUUCCUCCCCUGGCCGCAGGGAGCCCUCAGGCCGAGCCUUGGCAAGAGGGGCCAUACUGUGGGAGGCAGGGCCCCAUCACUGGGCUCCCGGAACAAACACGGGUAGAUGGCACCACCUGGUGGCCGCACUGCCACACAGCCAUCCCAGCCUGUGGUUCCAGGGUGCUGUGUCCCACUCUUCUGUGGCGUCCGCACCAUGAGGCCACCCCCUACAGGCACAUCCUAGACCACCAAAGCCCCCCGGUGCCCCAUGUCAGAGACAGCCCAAGUCAGCCCUCUUGCGGAACCUUCAGUGGCUUCUGCUGACUGGGGAGGACGCGCCCCAGAAGCUGGGGUUCAAAGCCCUGCCACGUGGGCUUAGUAAAGCCAUGCCCUUUCUGUUCCACCAGAACUACUUUUGCAAUCAUGGAGAAGUUCCAUCCCAUCUCUGGGCCUCAACUUCCACCUUUGCCAAAUGGGGGCCCUGCUCUGCUGUGGACAAGGGGCAGGAGUUUGGGAAGCCAAGCUGAGGCCUCCACUUGCUGGGGUGAAGGUGGGAAGCUUAACGGUCCCACCCUGACGCCAGCCCUUAAGGGCUUGUAAGUGAUUCUUUCAGGUGUUCUGGUCCUAAGCCACAGGAGAAGGAACAGCAGAGCCACCCAUGGCUGCUCAGAAGUCUGCCUACCGUACUUGCAAAUGUCCAAUAACAAAACCUCCCACCUGUGUUCUAUUUCAGCACAAUCUCACAUCUCUCCUUCCAACAACUGCGUGAGGCACACAGUAGUGUCCUCAUUUUGCAGAGGAGGAAACUGAGGCUCAGAGGGGGGGAGAUCUGUGCCGGGAAGUAGGGGACAUUGGCCUCUUUCUCAAAGCAGACAUGGGGGGUGGUCCCAGGAAUAUGCUCACCUGCAGGCCUGAGUUUGUAUGAGGUCGGGGGUUGGCCAUUGACAGGCAGGAUGGUGACAGUGAAGGCCACAGGAUGGCUCUGGCGGUCCAUCUCAGAGGCAUUAGCCAUCAGGACAAAACCGUCAGUGUCUUGCUCCCAUCGUGCAGGUACUGGAUCAGAUGCUCUUCCACCUAGGGGCAGGCCCAGGGCUGGCAGUCAGGCCCCAGCAGUACCCUUCAUGUUCUGCCUUUGGGUGCAGGAAGAGACUGACCCUUUUAGGGCCUCAGCUUCCAUUGGUGGAAAAUGGGGACCAUAAGUUCUGGUUCCCAGAGGAGUUGUGAGGAAGAAAGGGGAUAUUUUAUUUUAUUUUGAGACAGAGUCUCUCGCUCUGUUGCCCAGGCUGGAGUGCAGUGGUGUGAUCUCGGCUCACUGCAACCUCUGCCUCCCAGAUUCAAGCGAUUCUCCUGCCUCAGCCUCCUGAGUAGCUGGGACUACAGGUGCGGGCCACCACACCCGGCUAAUUUUUUGUAUUUUUAGUAGAAACAGGGUUUCACCGUGUUAGCCAGGAUGGUCUUGAUCUCCUGACCUCCUGAUCUGCCCACCUCGGCCUCCCAAAGUCCUGGAAUUACAGGCAUGAGCCACAGCGCCCAGCCCGAGAUACAGCAUCUAAAGCAUAGGUCUUUCUGAAAUGUGACUCCCUGUCUCCUCUCUGUAUAACCCCUGGACUGGGAGUCCCCGGGGCUCCCUCCACUCUGCCCCCAGAGCUGGGCUGCAGCCCCUGGGCCUCUCUCACAGCCGUACCUCUCUCCAGCAGAAGGUGCUGAGGGUCCUGGCUUGAGGCCCAUCCUCCUUCUGCAGGGCCCCAUGCCGGGGUGGCUCCAGCACCUGCAGGCCAAGGCCCGGGAGAGUGGGGAAGUAGGACCUGGCAACGCGGAGCAGUGGAGGGGCCAGGGUGCAGCUGCGACUGUGCCCCCUCUACUGCUGAAGUUUUGUGCCCCCAGUGGGGAUGACAGCAGGCAGCACCUCCAGCUCCACGUGACGUCCUCAAGGGGAGCACCCAGGCCGAGGCCACAUCCAGCGAGAAGGCAUGGCUCCGGGCCUCAGGGCGGGAGUGCAGGUAGAGGAUCCUGCCUGUGUCCACUGCCUCUUGGGAGAAGCUCUGCACGGGGUCCAGGCUGGGUGGCUCAUCUGCCAAGAUGCCACGCAGCACCAUCACCAGGUAGCCGGCACUCGGUGGGCUCUUCACUGAGAAAACGAUGUCUGCUGGCGGCACUGCCUCCUGGGCUACCUGGUUAACAGAGGUCAUGAGGACUCACAAGGGAAUGCAGAGGGGUCUCAGAGGGGCCCACUGUGGCCCUAAGCAGCCAGAACAGCCUUGAUCUUGCUCCACUUAUUUCCCCAGAUACCACUGCUCAUUUAGUGACACACACACAUGUGGGUUCACACACACAGCAGCCAGACAUGCAGCUGGUCACAUUUUUUGUUUUUUUGAGACAGGGUCUCACUCUGUCACCCAGGCUGGAGUGCUGUGGUGUGAUCACAGCUCCCUGCAGCCUCAACGUCCUAGGCUCAAGGGCUCAGCCUCCCAAGUAGCUGGGACCACAGUCAUGUGCCACCAUGCCUGGCUAAUUUUUAAAUGUUUUGUGUAGAGAUGGGGUUUCACUGGGUUGCCCCAGCUGGUCACAUGUUAAUACCCACCCCACACAUGGUUACGGGGUGUCGGUCAACAGCUUGAGAUGCACUCCCUCAGGGAGGUGCAUAAUCACAUGUCCCCAGACUCAGUGACACAGACAUAUGAGUUCAUCAGAUGCUGACGCAGUCACACAGGUACAGGUACACAUGCGUGUGUGCACACGCACACAGGCCCCCUGCUCAGGAUCUGUUCAGGCCUGUGGCUGGUUUGCUGGCAGCAUCCUCCCCAACCCCUGCUAUUACCACCCAGGACCAUCAGAGGGUGCCCUGCCCCACCCCACCCCACCCCUCCUAGAGGCACAGGCACCCCCAGCACAGGCCCUACAGAGCUCACACCCCAAAGGCCACAUGGGCUCCCUCACCUGAUGGGCCAUCCACAAGAGGCUAAACUGCCUCCAAACUCACAUUCCUGUUUUGUGCCUUCGGCCGGAAUGUUCCUUUUGCGUGGAAUACCACUCCCCAUUCUCUGCUCCUAAUGGCCUGUACUCUUCAGAGCCCGGCCCAAACACUGCCUCCUCCCAUGAGGCCUUCCUGAUGCCAGAUCUGCUGGCUCACCAUGGGCCCCAAGCUCCAGAUGCAGACCAGAAGGGUCUCCGAAAUAAGCAGUGUGGAAGAGUAAGGCUGAGAGCGGGCAAGGACUGGCCUGAGGUCACAGGGCAUGUCAGAUCUCUGGAAGGCCCGUGGCUGCUCUGUGGGGUUCCUGGGUGAGCAGAAGCCCUUGACAGACCCUCCUGGUCCUGGUCUGGGCUCUGAGAAGAGAGCGGGGUACACAGGGGUCUGAGAGGCAGCGGCCUGUCUCCACGGCCAGCAAUCCCAAAAGUUCAGGACCCGUGAUGCCCUCCCAGGGAACUGACUGCAAUGCAGAUUCUCGGGCUCCACUUCAGAGAUUCUGUAGGGCUGGGUGGCGUCCAGGAAUCUGCAUGCUCAGCCAUGCCAUGGACAUGAGUGGACACCAGCUCUAGAGGCACACACCACUCCCAGGAGGAUGGGUGUACAGCAAGCUCCCCAGAAACUCUUGGGAACACAACAUAUAUGGGAGCACAUCUGAGGCACGUGCACACACGCAAGCUGGGACCACCACAGGUACAGCCCAAGUCACAUGUGUUCCCGGCAUGGAGGCUGGGAGGAAGGCCCUCUACCUGGUCCACACCCCGCUCACCACCUCCAGCUCCUCACCUCCAGCUGGUCCCUUCUGAUCUCAGCUGCCUCUCCCUGGAAGAUGUAGAUCUCCUUGUGCUGGGCCAGCUUCAGUGGGGCUACUGGGCCCUCUAGGGCAAUGGUCACUUGUAGGGUGGCAUCUGUGUGCACUGGUCCCACAUCCAUUGAGAAGGCCAGGGUGUUGCGGGAGCUGAGGCUGCCAUUGUGGCCAUAGAAAACAGCCCCAACCAGCAGGUCCUGCUGAGAGAAGGCUGUGGCUGGCUGAGUGGCUUGGAGCAACUGUCCCCAGUGAGGGCUGUCUGUGACGUGGUAGUGGGCCUCAUCCCUACUGCAGAUGUUGAGGUUGGUGCCCAGGUGGAGCUCGGCCAUGUUGAUGGUACCCUGGCCUCCUUGAGGAACCAUGAGGCCGGAGCCAUUGGCCACACAGAGGUAAGGCUCCAAGGCCUGCACCUCCAGCACCGUGAUGGCCUGGUGCUGCCCAUCGGACACCUGCAGCGGGAUCCAGCCGUGGUCAGCCUGAGUGUGUGAACAGGACUCGCCUCUUCCUGAGGCCCCUCCUGGAUGAAGCGGCAGAUGGGCUGCAUGGGCUCAUCCGUGGCCAUGAUACUGCCAGAGAGGAGGUCCUGGUGGGUCAGCACCAGCUGGGCCUCAGCAAAGCCCGAAUCAGCAUUGCUGAAGGCCAUGUUGUCUGUAGUCAGCAGCCGCCACCUACCCCAGGCCACGUGGAAGACGCAGCUGAUGGUCUGCAUAGGGGCGUGGUCAUUCACAGGCUGGAUGGCCACUCAGAAGACACCCCAUACCUCCUCCCAGGCCACGUCACCACUGCUCUGGUCCUGAUGGCAGCAGGAAAUGGGAUAUCAUCUUCUGUGAUCUCGGAGUCAUCAUGCUGCUAGACCAGCUGGCCAUGCAUCAGGUCUCCAUUGGUGAAGGAUGUCACCAUAGUGAUCUUGUCCUGUGUCCCACGCCAAGUCAACCUCCCAUGGCGGGGCUGCUCCAUGACCUCAUAGAGGUACCUGGCACUGUUGAGACUCUUGAUGAAGAGCUGGUCAGCAGAGAGGACACACCCACCACCCUCGGGCACCACGAGGACAGGCAUGUCUGGGUCACCGCCAAUAUGGAUGGAGAAGGUACAGAGUGGGGAGAAAUAUGGUGGAGCUGUGACAUGGAAACAGAAGGUGUCCUCCACUGCCACUGAGGCACGUGCCAUGGCCCCAUAGGUCACCUCUGCAGCCUGUACGUCAUCCUGGGUGAAGCCCUGACCGUCUGACAGCAUCGUGCCCUGUAGUUGAAAGUUGCCUUUCCUGGGAGCCUGAACCACCUCACAGUGGAAGGUUGGGGGGCUUGGGCCUGCCUCCUCCAGGGUGGCCUCCAGGUGGGCUGUGGUGAGGGCCUCCUGCUGGGUGUUCUGAGUGUGCAGUGGCUCCAGCUGCAGCAUCCACACAGUGGCUCUCUGGAUGGUCACUAGGAAGGACAGAUUGCUCAGGAUUUCCCAGCUCACCUGCACCUGCAGAUCCAGGUUCUCCACGGUGUCCUCGGUGUAGUGCUGUGGGUCAGUGCUCAGGUACCUCACGUGGCCCUGCUCCACAUCCUGCUGGUGGAACGCCUGUGUGACCCACCACUCAGCAUCCUCCACCCCACCAGCCCCCUGCUUCUGCAGCUCCCUGAACGGCAGGCCUCCGGUGACACGGAACAGCACGGUCACAUCCUGCCCCACGGCGCUGGUCUCCACCAACAGGUUGGUAGGCAAGAUGGGCAUGGCAGAGCCCUGGGCCAGAUGCAGCCCUGUGCUGCGGUGGAUUUGUAUGGCCAGCUGGACAGCCACCACCUUCAGCAUGGCCGGGGGGCUGGCCUGCAGUCCAUUGCUGACCCGGAAUGUCAAGUCCUGUGUAGGGCCACCACAGUGGACAUAGACUAGGCUGCCGGCCUCCAACUCCCAGCAGGAGAACUCAGUCACCGGCUCCCCAGGCUGGUCUCGGUGCUCCACGGGGAGGCCAGAGGGGGUGCCAAGGAGCUGGAAGGCGAGGCCCUCACAGGCAGAGUCCAGGUCAUAGGCCUGGAGAACCUCAGGCCCCAGAGGCUUCUGUGUGUGUUCCAGGAUCACCAUAAGGCUGCCAUGUGGGAAGAUGAUGUGGGGUGGGUCAUUGACAGGGUUGACCUGGAUGGGCAGGAGGUCUGUUUGGCCCCUCCACAGGCAUGAGGGCAUGGGCAACCAAGCCAUCACUGACACCUCCAGCACCAGCUGGUCAGAGGUGUCCUCAGGGCCAUCGUGGAUGAAGCGGGCCUUGCAGUUCACCACGUCCAGGAGGGUGAACAUUUUUCAUGCCUGGGCACCCAGGACAUCCAGCUCGAGCUCGCUGUAGUGUGCCCCUCAGGUCACGCUGAACAGCACCUGGGAUUUACGCAGUUCAGCCUCCAUCAGUGCCAGCAUGGGCUGCACAUGCCACCACUCAAGCCAGGCUGUGCCACCCUCGGUCACCACCACUGCGCUGAUAGCAGCUGGAUGAAAUUGGCAAAGACAGGAGGUAGCCCUGGCUCAGGCACGCAUGGCUCAGCUAGCUCCACGGACAGCCAAGCCUUGGGAGCCAGGGUGGAGAAAGCUUCAUAAUGGCCAUAGGCAUUGUCUACCUCCUCCAGUCUGCAGCCAGCCACCAUGUUGUGCGUCAGCAAGGCUUCCCACAGCCCCUGCCUCUAGCCAUUGACACUGAGGUCUUCCAUGCAGCCAGCCCAGCAGGGAGGCAUUGGCAGCCCCUGGUGUCAGGCCUGAGCGGUGUUCCUGGAGGUGAUGAGAGGCCUCUGCAACCAGCUCCCCAAGAAGGAGACUGUCACGUGGCUCCAGGUAGCUGAGGACUCCUCAGUUCGUGUGGGGUACUGGUCCAUGGAGAUUUCUAGCUGGUGAAUGUUGAUGUGGAUGCUGACCUUGUGGGGCUGUGCGUCAGUCACAGGCACACUGUUGAGGAGCAAUACAGUACCCUGGCCCUUCUCAACCAUGGACCACAGGUGGCCCUCAAAUAUGUCCACAUGGAUGAAGUCCCCAUGCCAGCCUGCUGCCUGGAAGGCCAAGGGUGCCUGCCAGCUCUGUGUGUAUCUUCUAGACGUUCCAGAACUGAUGUCAGAUUUGGCUCAUCAGAGUCCACAGACCAUAUCGGUGAAGAAGAUGAAUAGGAUUCCUGUUUAACCCAGAGACACCUAUGUUAAAUGUUUACAUACAGACUAACCCAAAUAUGCAAUUAAACCACACCACUAAAUGGCAAGAUGACCAUGGAUUUAAACAAAAUGUAUGGGGGAAAAGGCAACACGUUUAAACCCAUGUGAGGAGCUGGACUUCUGAGACAGCCAUUCUCCUUGCAUAGCACUGUCUGCUGCUACAGCUCAUAGAAGUCAACAACUUUCUUCAACACUGGUAGGCAGCCUUUAAAUGGCCCUGAUCACCCUCACCUCCUGCCAUUCACACCCUUGUAAAAUUCCACCCCUGGACCUAGUGACUCACUUCUAACAAAGAGAAUACAGCAAAAGUAACAUCGCUUCUGAGGUGAGGCUACAAGGAGACUACGAUGCCUGCCUUAGUCACCCUUCUCCUGCUCUUUCCAUUGCUCCCUCUGAUGGAAGCCAGUUGCCAUGUGAUGAGGUGCCCUAUGGAGAGGCCCACGUGACAAGGUAUUGUAAAAAGCCUCUGACCAAUAGCCAUCUAGAAACGGAGGCCCAGUCCAGCAGCCUCUGAGAUGAAUCCUGCCAACCUGAGCUUGGAGACAGAUUCUCUCCCUAUCCUGCCUUGGGAUGAUCACAGCCACCACCAACACCUUCACUGCCUGGUGAGAGGCCAAGCCAGUGAACCCAAGGUAAACUGGACAGAAUCCUGACCCACAGAAACUGAGAUAAUGUUUGUUAUUUUAAGCUGCUCAAUUUGUUACAGAGCAAUAGAUAACUAACUCAAACACCAUAAAAUUCUAAUAUUUUAUUCUAUCACACAAACCAAGUAAUACCAAGUAAAUGCCAUUACUAUACAUAUAUUUUUGUAACACAAUUACAUGUGAUUUUUUAAAAAAGCUAAUGAACUAUGCAUUAUGUGCUUUCACCCACUAACAGACGUUCCCGCUGUUACUUUGUACUGUUCUCUAUUAUAAAUUGGGGAAAAACCAUUAUUAUUAUAUAUUAGUUUCAGAAUAACUAGGUUCAAGUCACAGAAAACAAUUUUGCACAAACAACUUUAGGCAACACUGCUUUGAAAACUGUAAUCUGAGUUAAAGCUGAAGCCACAGAAACCAAAUAUUUACUGAAGGUUCCUUUUUAAGAAAAGCAAGAUGGGCCGGGCACGGUGGCUCGCGCCUCUAAUCUCAGCACUUUGGGAGGCCGAGGUGGGCGGAUCACGAGGUCAGGAGAUCGAGACCGUCCUGGCUAACACGGAGAAACCCCAUCUCUACUAAAAAAAUACAAAAAAAUUAGCUGGGCGCGCUGGCGGGUGCCUGUAGUCCCAGCUACUCAGGAGGCUGAGGCAGGGGAAUCACUUGAACCCAGGAGGCAGAGGUUUCAGUGGGCCGAGAUGUCCACUGCACUCCAGGCUGGCGAUAGAGCAAGACUCCAUCUCAAAAAACAAACAAACAAAAAGAAAAACAAGUUGUAUUGAUGGAGGACAUCAUUAACAGUAUAUCUCUUCAAUAAUGGUUUAUUUUACUAUUCUCAUUCUUCUCAUUCCUCUCUUACUGUGUUCCAAAUCUCUUUACAGGCUAAAAGAAACUCUUCAGAAUUACUCCUAUUCUUUUUUUUCUUUUUUGAGACCGAGUUUCGCUCUUGUUGCCCAGGCUGGAGCGCAGUGGCACGAUCUCAGCUCAUCACAACCUCCACCUCCCAGGUUCAAGCAAUUCUCCUGCCUCAGCCUUCCUGAGUAGCUGGGAUUACAGGCAUGUGCCAUCAUGCCCCACUAAUUUUGUAUUUUUAGUAGAGACGGGGUUUCUCUAUGUUGGUCAGGCUGGUCUCGAACCCCUAAUCUCAGAUGAUCCACCCACCUCGGCCUCCCAAAGUGUUGGGAUUACAGGCAUGAGCCACUGCGCCCAGCCAACCCUAUUCUUAAAGAACACCAGUUCCUCAGUAUUGCAUUUUCUUCUAUAAAUUCUUCAGCAUACACUGAGAAUACACCAUAUGGACUAUUUUUACACUUUUAAUUUUCGUUUUUUUUUACUUUUGGCUAAGGAAAUUUCAAUUAGAUUUAGGACUUCAUUCUGUUAGGUUAGUAUUUUCUAGUAAACUUCAGCAUAAGCAAAAUAAAAUACGUGUUGUUGCUCUGGACUGAAACCCCUCAAAACCAUAUUUUAAAAAUUACAAAAAAAAAUUAACUGAAAUCAAGUUUUUAAAAACCUUGUAGAUGAAAAGAUAUGAUAUCUAGUACGUCUAAGUACCUAUUUCAAUGGUUCCCAAAGUGCGGCCCUCAGACCCCCAA